rnacentral:lncRNA from 10 species
GCAAGCACCGCGCGCAGCCCCGGUUUCCGCUCGCGCCUCUCCCUCCACACCUGCCCACAAGCUGAGGGAGCCGGCUCCGGCCUUGGCCAGCCCGGAAAGGGGCUCCCACAGUGCAGCGGCAGGCUGAAGGGUUCCUCAAGUGCCGCCAAAGUGGGAGCCCAGGCAGAGGAGGCGCCAAGAGCGAGCGAGGGCUGUGAGGACUGCCAGCACGCUGUCACCUCUCAGUACCACCAAUAUCAUGAUUAUUGAAUGAGGUUGCCUUGAUAAUUCUGCUGAUCUUGCCUGGCUUUACUAAUGUGCCUGAGGUUGUCUAGAAGAUGAAAUGGAAUGGGUGGAUUUGGUGGAAUAGGUGGAUUCGGUGGAAUGGAUGGAUUCAGUGGAAUGGAAUUAUUUAUUAUCGGAUUCCAG